rnacentral:rRNA from 1 species
AGAGUUUGAUCAUGGCUCAGAUUGAACGCUGGCGGCAGGCCUAACACAUGCAAGUCGAACGGUAACAGGAAACAGCUUGCUGUUUCGCUGACGAGUGGCGGACGGGUGAGUAAUGUCUGUGAAACUGCCUGAUGGAGGGGGAUAACUACUGGAAACGGUAGCUAAUACCGCAUAACGUCGCAAGACCAAAGAGGGGGACCUUCGGGCCUCUUGCCAUCAGAUGUGCCCAGAUGGGAUUAGCUAGUAGGUGGGGUAACGGCUCACCUAGGCGACGAUCCCUAGCUGGUCUGAGAGGAUGACCAGCCACACUGGAACUGAGACACGGUCCAGACUCCUACGGGAGGCAGCAGUGGGGAAUAUUGCACAAUGGGCGCAAGCCUGAUGCAGCCAUGCCGCGUGUAUGAAGAAGGCCUUCGGGUUGUAAAGUACUUUCAGCGGGGAGGAAGGGAGUAAAGUUAAUACCUUUGCUCAUUGACGUUACCCGCAGAAGAAGCACCGGCUAACUCCGUGCCAGCAGCCGCGGUAAUACGGAGGGUGCAAGCGUUAAUCGGAAUUACUGGGCGUAAAGCGCACGCAGGCGGUUUGUUAAGCCAGAUGUGAAAUCCCCGGGCUCAACCUGGGAACUGCAUCUGAUACUGGCAAGCUUGAGUCUCGUAGAGGGGGGUAGAAUUCCAGGUGUAGCGGUGAAAUGCGUAGAGAUCUGGAGGAAUACCGGUGGCGAAGGCGGCCCCCUGGACGAAGACUGACGCUCAGGUGCGAAAGCGUGGGGAGCAAACAGGAUUAGAUACCCUGGUAGUCCACGCCGUAAACGAUGUCGACUUGGAGGUUGUGCCCUUGAGGCGUGGCUUCCGGAGCUAACGCGUUAAGUCGACCGCCUGGGGAGUACGGCCGCAAGGUUAAAACUCAAAUGAAUUGACGGGGGCCCGCACAAGCGGUGGAGCAUGUGGUUUAAUUCGAUGCAACGCGAAGAACCUUACCUGGUCUUGACAUCCACGGAAGUUUUCAGAGAUGAGAAUGUGCCUUCGGGAACCGUGAGACAGGUGCUGCAUGGCUGUCGUCAGCUCGUGUUGUGAAAUGUUGGGUUAAGUCCCGCAACGAGCGCAACCCUUAUCCUUUGUUGCCAGCGGUCCGGCCGGGAACUCAAAGGAGACUGCCAGUGAUAAACUGGAGGAAGGUGGGGAUGACGUCAAGUCAUCAUGGCCCUUACGACCAGGGCUACACACGUGCUACAAUGGCGCAUACAAAGAGAAGCGACCUCGCGAGAGCAAGCGGACCUCAUAAAGUGCGUCGUAGUCCGGAUUGGAGUCUGCAACUCGACUCCAUGAAGUCGGAAUCGCUAGUAAUCGUGGAUCAGAAUGCCACGGUGAAUACGUUCCCGGGCCUUGUACACACCGCCCGUCACACCAUGGGAGUGGGUUGCAAAAGAAGUAGGUAGCUUAACCUUCGGGAGGGCGCUUACCACUUUGUGAUUCAUGACUGGGGUGAAGUCGUAACAAGGUAACCGUAGGGGAACCUGCGGUUG